rnacentral:misc_RNA from 1 species
GAUGAAGAACGUAGCGAAAUGCGAUACUUGGUGUGAAUUGCAGAAUCCCGUGAACCAUCGAGUCUUUGAACGCAAGUUGCGCCCGAAGCCGUCAGGCCGAGGGCACGCCUGCCUGGGCGUCACACGCCGUUGCCCCCCCAGCGCCUCCCUCGGGAGCGUCGGGGGGAGCGGACGAUGGCCUCCCGUGCGACACCCCGCGCGGUUGGCACAAAUGCCGGGUCCUCGGCGACGAACGCCACGACAAUCGGUGGUUGUCAAACCUCGGUUGCCCGUUGUGCGCCUUCGUCGCGCCACGAGCGGCCCGCGAUAGCAAACGGCUCCGCUCCGGCGGAGCUUUCAACGCGACCCCAGGUCAGGCGGGGUUACCCGCUGAGUUUAAGCAUAUCAAUAAGCGGAGGA